UACGUAGGUGGCAAGCGUUUGUCCGGAUUUACUGGGCGUAAAGGGCGUGCAGGCGGUUUGUUAAGUGCAGGGUGAAAGCUCCCGGCUCAACUGGGAGAGGUCCUUGCAUACUGGCGAACUCGAGGGAGGCAGAGGAAAGUGGAAUUCCCGGUGUAGUGGUGAUAUGCGUAGAUAUCAGGAGGAACACCGGUGGCGAAGGCGGGUCUCUGGGCCGAUACUGACGCUGAGGCGCGAAAGCGUGGGGAGCAAACAGG
rnacentral:rRNA from 1 species